UGCUUUUUUUUUUUUAAUUUUUUUAAGUCUUCCUGUUAAAGGGAAGCUUUUCCUCUCCACAUGCAUCUACAGUAUGUCUCUGGUGAUGGAGAAUAGUUUUGAGCUCAAGGUUGGAGAAUUUAAGGCCUUGUCAACACCACAUGAUGUCUCUAGUGUUGGAGAAUAGUUUUGAGCUCAAGGUUGGGGAAUUUAAGGCCUUGUCAACACCACAUGAUGUCUCUGGUGAUGGAGAGUAGUUUUGAGCUCAAGGUUGGGGAAUUUAAGGCCUUGUCAACACCACAUGGUAUCUGGACUGAGAAGAUUUGGAAACUGAUCAACUGUUUUUGUUGAGAUGGAGCCUCUGCAGACAUGUGAUGGCCUCAAACAUUUAGGAAAUAUGGAUAUCAAAAUGGUCGCCGUGGUACUGGACUUUGAACCCAACAUUAGGAAAUGUGGCUUGCUUCUUCCUGUAGCCACUCCUCAGGGAUUUUAAGUAAUCGGAUGAGUUCAAGGACAUUGGUAACGAACAAGUACAACAAAGCUGUCAAGCCAUUACAUGGAGGAAAAACACAAAAAACGGUAUGUUCUGAUCAUGGGUAUGGUAACUGGAAUGGAUUUUGGAUUCACUCGGCGCAGGAAAAACACGGUAGGCUAUAUGAAAUGCAGGUGUUCUGAUUUUGGGUACAGCAAUUGGAACAGAUCUUGGAGACGCAGGAAAAACAUGGUAGGCUAUAUGAAAUGUAUGUGUUGUGAUCAUGGGCAUGGUAACUGGAAUGGAUUUUGAAUUAAUUUCUGAUCUUGAGUAAUGUUUGAAAUGCGUGUUAUAUGUCAUAGUAUUAGAAAUACCGUAUAAAUAACUGGUGUAGAAUCCAUUAUCUCUUCAGAUGAUGCCCACCGACUACACCUGAGAACGACGGGAUGGACGGGCUUUCUUCACCCCUGACCACUGCUGAUGGAAGACCUUAGUGACCCUACCAUCGGGCUGAGCAGUCUUCCUCGAGAAAUGCUGCAGGAAUCCUCCUGGACCGUCUCAUUUCGCCCUUCACCCCUCCAUCGACCGGAGAAGUUCUUCAUCAUUCCACCGAACAUCAGACAGAAGAGGACUUCAUCGCCACCCCCUCAUUGAUGGAUGACCUUAGUGACCCUACCAUUGUGCUGAGCAGUCUUCCUCGAGAAAUGCUGCAGGAAUCCUCCUGGAUUCUUGUCUGAUUUCGCUCUUCAUCAACCAACGGAGAAGUUCAUCAUUCCACCGAACAUCGAACAGAAGAGGACUUAAUCGCCCCUCUGGACCCCCCAUUGAUGGAUGACCUACCAUUGGACUAGGCAGGUUUUCUGCAGGAAACCCUGCAAGUGUUCUCAUGUGAGCAGGAAUCAUCCUGGAUCAUCUUUUACCAUUCAUCGCCAGGCCCCAACCACGGAUGGAAAUGGAUUUCAUCGCCACGGACGGAAGGAGAAUUUUGUUUAUGGACUCUUUACAGACUUCAUUUUAUUUGUUUUUAUUUUGGGUAUUUAAAAAUGUCUUCCAGUGUUAAGUGUUAGUUAGAAUUGAUUAUCAAUGUGUUUUUGUUUGUUCUCUCCAUAGAAGCCACACUUGGUUUGGUGUUAUGAUUGGCUGUCGUCCCUUCCUGGAGGAGCACAUUGGUUGACAUGAUGCUGCCAUCACCAAACAGUUCUCCCACUCCUGCUGUUAACUUGUCACUUCCAUGAACAUAGAAAGUUCUCCUGAUCAGGUGACCCAUUGUGUCUCUGCUCUGUCUUCUCUCAGCUCCCGUCAGUCGUGGCAGAUGGCUGCUGGUACUGAGCCAGGUUCUGGUUCUGCUGGAGGUUUCUUCCUGUUAGAGGGGAGCUCUUCUCCCCUGUCGCUUCAUGCAUGGUCUGUAUGAGGGAUUGCUGUGAAGUCAACAACUCAACACAAGCGAUUUGCCGUUGUGCCCUGCUGGUCAGGAGGAGUGAGUGCUGCAAGUAAAGACUAAAUGCAAUCUGACUGGGUUCCUUUGGUACAAACUAUUUAAACUAAGUUAAUAAUUGAGCUUAUUGUACUGUUGACUAAUGGCAAUUGAAAUAUGUGGAUCAACUAAAAUUGUUUUAAAGUGUAUUGAGACAACAUUUGUUGUGAAUUGGCUCUGUACAAAACCGAACACUUAAACAACCAAUAUAAAAAACCAAAUGGUUCAAAACUCCAACAACCAACUCAAAAAGGGUUCAAAACUCCAACAACCAACUCAAAAAGGGUUCAAAACUCCAACAACCAACUCAAAAAGGGUUCAAAACUCCAACAACCAACUCAAAAAGGGUUCAAAACUCCAACAACCAACUCAAAAAGGGUUCAAAACUCCAACAACCAACUCAAAAAGGGUUCAAAACUCCAACAACCAACUCAAAAAGGGUUCAAAACUCCAACAACCAACUCAAAAAGGGUUCAAAACUCCAACAACCAACUCAAAAAGGGUUCAAAACUCCAACAACCAACUCAAAAAGGGUUCAAAACUCCAACAACCAACUCAAAAAGGGUUCAAAACUCCAACAACCAACUCAAAAAGGGUUCAAAACUCCAACAACCAACUCAAAAAGGGUUCAAAACUCCAACAACCAACUCAAAAAGGGUUCAAAACUCCAACAACCAACUCAAAAAGGGUUCAAAGGUAACCCAACAACCAACUCCAAAAGGGUUCAAAGGUAACCCAACAACCAACUCCAAAAGGGUUCAAAGGUAACCCAACAACCAACUCAAAAAUUUCACAACAAUGUUGUCGUCAAAGCAUUUAACAAAGUCAUAGAUUCCAAUUGGUUCUACUUAUCAAUACAUUAGAUUCAGUUAAUUAUUAAAGUAGUGUAAAUGAUUUGUACCAAAGGAAACCCAUUCAGAUUGCAUGGAGUCUUUGACCUACAGCAUUCACUCCUCCUGACCAGCAGGGGGCAACAGCAACUCACUUGUGUUGAGUUGUUGACUUCACAGCAAUCCCUCAUACAGACCACGAAUGAA